UUCUUUGUUGACAGUUUGCUAUCACUAUCAGCUGAGUCCACAUUCUGGCUUUGGCUGUACUAAAGACUUUAGGGAAGAAUCUGAUCUGAAAUAUGCCAAACAUCAUUAGAUCUAGAUUCUAGAUGUACACAUCAAAGGAAGAAGCUUCGACGUUCGAAGCCGGCAAUUGACAAGGUGUCCGAUGGUAACUUAGAAUAGGAUCAGGUGAUCGCAGGCCUAUAUGGCUUGUGGCGGCUCGUAUCACAGAACAGAUGGCUAAACUGUAAAAUGUACCUGCACUUGCUCCGAGCUGAGUUUCAAGUUGUUUAGAACCUGAAAAUCAACUCAGACAUCGGUCCACGAUUGUCAUUCAACUCAACUACGGGAACUUCUACUUCCCCUCCAUCAUCAGCCAGACCGUUAGAUCUAUCUCCAUCAGGGGCGAAAGCUGACUUGUUUGACAGGGUAAUCAAAGUGAAAUGGGACCAGAUAGGGCCUGGAGAUAUCACACUCACACAAGU